ensembl:lncRNA
AUGUUAUGUGUUUGCGUUAAAUCACCUUUUGCUGUAUGUGAUGCAUCUGCCUUUGCUGCAUCUCUUUCAUUGACUGCUUUGGAACAUAUCUUUAUGAAAUAUAGAAAAAAAAAGUUUAUUCUUUUUCUAAUUCGCUCUCUCUCUUCCUCCUCCAGGACGGAUGGCAGACGCUGGUCUCUGGCCUCCCUGCCUUCCUCUGGCUAUGGUACCAACACUCCCAGCUCCACUGUCUCGUCCUCCUGUUCAUCUCAGGAGAAACUGCACCAGCUGCCCUUCCAGCCCACGCCGGACGAGCUGCACUUCCUCACCAAACACUUCAGCUCAGAGAGCAUCACAGACGAGGAGGGACGCCGCUCCCCCGCCAUGAGACCGCGCUCCCGCAGCCUCAGCCCGGGACGCUCCCCCAUCUCCUUUGACCAUGAGAUUGUUAUGAUGAACCAUGUGUACAAGGAGAGGUUCCCUAAGGCGACGGCUCAAAUGGAGGAGCGACUGGCUGAGCUGCUCUCCUCCUCGGCCCCAGAGAAAGUCUGCCCACUGGCCGACGGGGUCCUGAGCUUCAUCCACCAUCAGCUGAUAGAGCUGUCAAGAGACUGCCUGGAGAAAAGCAGAGAGGGCCUCAUCACUUCUCGCUACUUCUACGAGCUCCAGGAGAAUCUGGAGAAGCUGCUGCAAGAUGCUCACGAGCGCUCAGAGAGUGUGGAGGUUACCUUUGUCACACAACUUGUAAAGAAACUGAUGAUCAUCAUUGCCCGGCCUGCACGCCUGCUGGAGUGUCUGGAGUUUGAUCCUGAGGAAUUUUACCACUUGUUGGAAGCAGCAGAGGGCCAUGCCAAGGAGGGCCAGGGCAUCAAGUCCGACAUCCCCAGAUACAUCAUCAGCCAGCUGGGCCUUACCAGGGACCCCCUGGAGGAGACCCGGCAGCGUUUCGCCAUGAAGAAGAUCAACAAACAGAACCUGAUUCUGAGAAACCAGAUCCAGCAGGCCUUUGUGGAACGAGACAUCCUGACGUUUGCUGAGAACCCGUUUGUCGUCUCUAUGUUCUGUUCUUUUGAGACUAGGAGGCACCUCUGCAUGGUGAUGGAGUAUGUAGAGGGUGGAGACUGUGCCACGCUGCUGAAGAAUAUUGGAGCCCUGCCGGUCGAUAUGGCUCGUAUGUACUUUGCAGAGACCGUCCUCGCAUUAGAGUAUCUUCAUAAUUAUGGCAUCGUCCACAGAGACCUUAAACCAGACAAUCUUCUCAUCACUUCGAUGGGACACAUUAAGCUGACAGACUUUGGUCUGUCUAAGAUUGGUUUGAUGAGUUUGACGACAAACCUGUAUGAAGGACACAUUGAGAAAGACACCAGAGAAUUCCUGGAUAAGCAGGUGUGUGGCACCCCAGAGUACAUCGCCCCAGAGGUGAUUCUACGUCAAGGCUACGGGAAACCGGUGGACUGGUGGGCGAUGGGAGUCAUCCUGUACGAGUUCCUGGUGGGCUGCGCUCCCUUCUUCGGAGACACACCAGAGGAACUGUUUGGGCAGGUCAUCAGUGAUGAGAUUAUGUGGCCUGAGGAGGAUGAAGCUCUGCCUCAGGAGGCUCAGGAUCUCAUCUCCAAACUGCUAAGACAAAACCCCCUGGAGCGACUGGGCACAGGAAGUGCCUAUGAGGUGAAGCAGCACCCAUUCUUCACAGAGCUGGACUGGAACAGCCUGCUGAGACAGAAAGCAGAAUUCAUCCCCCAGCUGGAGUCUGAGGACGACACCAGCUACUUUGACACUCGGUCUGAUCGGUACCACCACGUCGAUUCAGAGGAAGAAGACGACACCAACGAUGAUGAACACGUGGAGAUUCGGCAGUUCUCCUCCUGCUCACCUCGCUUCAAAUCAUUUCAUAAGUACGGAUUCACAUUAAGAGCCAUCCGCGUCUAUAUGGGAGACUCUGACAUCUACACGGUGCACCACAUGGUCUGGCAUGUGGAGGGGGGCGGUCCAGCCCAUGAAGCCGGGCUGAGGGAGGGCGAUCUGAUCACUCAUGUCAACGGAGAGCCGGUCCACGGUCUGGUUCACACUGAGGUGGUGGAGCUCAUACUGAAGAGCGGUGCCAAAGUGUCCAUCUCUGCCACCCCGUUUGAGAACACGUCCAUCAAAGUCGGCCCUGCCCGAAAAACAAGCCACAAAUCCAAGAUGGCGCGACGCAACAAGAAGACCAAGAACAAGGAGGGACAAGACAGGACGUCUCUGUUCAGGAAGAUCACCAAGCAGGCGUCUCUCCUCCACACCAGCCGCAGUCUUUCUUCUCUAAACCGCUCUUUGUCCUCUGGGGAGAGUGGACCCGGCUCACCAACACACAAUCUGUCACCACGGAGCCCAACACAGGGCUACAGGUCCAUACCUGACUCUGCCCACUCAGUUGGUGGAAACUCAUCUCAGAGCAGCUCCCCCAGCUCUAGCGUCCCAAACUCCCCGGCAAGUUCUGGCCACAUCCGCCCCAGCUCCCUGCACGGUCUCGCCCCGAAGCUCCAGCGUCAGUACCGCUCUCCACGACGCAAGUCUGCUGGCAACAUCCCCCUCUCCCCUCUGGCCCGCACACCUUCACCCACACCUCAGAGCAGCUCACCUCAGCGCUCACCCUCCCCGCUGCCUAGCCACAGUCUGGGACAGGCUGCUGUGGGCCAGUCAUUCCCUGUGAAGCUCCACUCCUCCCCUCCCCUGGUGAGGCAGAUAUCCAGACCUAAAAGUGCAGAGCCUCCUCGUUCACCACUUCUCAAGAGGGUGCAGUCUGCUGAGAAACUGGCUGCCUCCCUAUCUAACUCCCCCUCAUCCUCCUCUGGAGUCACAGCAGCAGGCGAAAAGAAGCUGCCAGUGGGAGCAGCUGUGGGGAGUCGUAAACACAGCCUGGACAUCUCACAUUCAGAGUUUAAGAAGGAGAUUCUGCAGAGGGAGCCGAGCCUGCAGAGCCUUCAGGUAACAGUCUGA